UUGUUUACUUUAAGUUUUUAUCAACUAUGUCCAGAAGAGUUUGAUAGUAACUUAGAACUAAUUCUAAUAACUAAAAUGCAAUAGUGAAUUUUAUGAUCAAAAUUACAUAGAAGGAUUAUCCAUUGUCACACCUCCUUUUUACUACCGGAUGGGUAUAUAAGAGAGUUUUUUUCCAAUUAAAGUGACAUUAUUCGAAAUGAGAUUAUUUUAUUUAUUUUUUUCAGAGUCGUCACUUGGAAUAAUUUAUGGUGUCCCAAGUCACCGAUUUAUUUUUAAAAUCCCAAAUCAAGGAAAAUCGACUUUAUUUAAAAGUAAGGAUCUACGAAACCAGAAAUUCUAAGUAAGGAAUUCUGUUAGCCCGAGCGAAGGUGUUAGGCAUUCCCGGGUUCCGUGGUUCGAGCACAGUCACUUAACUAUUAAUAUUGGCCUAAUUAUCUGAUUAGUUACAUGUUUUAAACCUAUUGUAUAUUUUUAACUUUAUAACCGCUUUUAAUUAUUUUUGACCGAUUUUAGAAUUUAUGGAAUUAUUUGUUGAACAAGUUACGAUUUGUCGUGCACUUGCCGUUUCGGGACACACCACAAACCACGCUACAUGAAAUGCACCCGUGAUUCGUGAUAUGUUUAUUUUUAUUAUUAUUCGAAGUUAUUAUGAUCGGGUCACAUGAAAUGCACACCCGAAUUGAGGAUUAUGUACCAUGACUAUGCCACGGGAACCUUACUCAUAUUCACGAUAGUUAUUUAAUCGCGCCUAAAGUAAACUACAAUAUUUAAAAUUAAAUUAUUUCCUAAGUUUGGGAUUUUUGUAAGGCCAAAAGUUUCUUUUAUAACGGUUCAAUUAGCCAAAAAUUGAAAAUAAAUUAACAAUACAAGAAAAGUAAGAUUCUAAAAAAAACUAUAAUACUACAAGACAAGAGAAAGUGAAUGGGGUGCAUAAAAGUGUGGCUACAUUACUGCCUUUGAUCACAUUUCCCAACUCUCUUUAAUUCAAUAUCCAAAAAUGCCUUAGUUUCUGCUCAUUAAACGUCUCACCAAAUGGAGGAAAACGAAGAACGAGGUAUGCUGAAACCAACAUGAAAAUCACCAGCAUGUAGCUUUUAAUGUUAUAUUUGUGAAAGAUAGAUACUUGAUAUGGCUAUUGCCAUCAAAAGCAAGUAUAUAUGUGUAGAGUCAUGUAAGAAAAAUAACAAAACUUAACACUCUGGCUAUUAACACACAUAACAAAGUAAAAUCUGGAGGAACCAAUAAUGAUGUUCGAGUAAGAUAAAAUUGCGCUAUAUUAUAGGAAACAUGGACAGGAAACUCAAAAGUGAUUUAUUAUCUAUUUCUUUCACCCAUGUCCUCUACACUGUGGUCAAAAAAUAACUCUCAAAGACGUCAUUUCCUAAUAACAAAAGGGAUCUUCCCUGUUUUCUCAAUAUAGAUAUAGUGGCAAAGUGCAUGUUACUCUUUUGAACCAGCAACGAGCAACAAAAGGGAAAGAACUAAAAAAAAUGAAAUCUCCAGUACUUUAUAUAGCUUAUUCAAACCAAAUUGGGCCAAAUUGAAAAUGCUAAAACCAGUGAAGAUGGACAAUAAACAUGGCAUAUUAACAAAACAAUUUCGAACUAAUCUAAAACAAGACAAAUAAAUAAUAAAAUCAGGAAAACGUGAUUUCAGACUGGAAAUGGAAACUUACGAUUGCUAACAAAAUUGAAUCAAUAGGAGUAGUAAAUAAUUAACUCAAUCUCCACUCACUUCAGUGUUCCAACAUUCUUCAUAUCAAAUAAAAUAGCAUAAGUUUCUAAACAUUCUUUUACAAAACAAGGUAAACAACAACCAAUAAUUCCAUAAAACAACAAAUCUGAGAACCAUUUUUAUGAAGAACAUACCUCAUCGCGUGCAAGGUUCAAUUUUAGAAGAGAAGAAAGACACAUAAAGUUGGAAUCGCCAUGCUCGAAGAUCGGCAACAGAAGAAUCAACAAAUACAACAACAAACAACACUUUUACCGCUCCAAUACCACUCGAAAUUCAAGAAAAUUGAAGUAAAAGAGCAGAACUUCGAAUAGCUUUCAAGUCUUCCUUUGUUUUCUGUUUUGGUUUUGUUUUUGAAACUCUUUUUGAAUUUUCAGAGCUAGACUUGUUUUCUUUUCUAAGGGGGUCUCAUCUUCAAUUUUUUUGAGGAUGGAAGAAAAUGACCGCCGUUCUUCUUGGAAAGGGGGGGGGGUCUUCUUUUUUGCGGCAAUUUGGAUGGUUUGACGAAAAGAUGAAGAAGAAACAAGGAAGGGGAGGUGCGCUAUUGGUUCCUUCAAGUUUCUGGGGUUCUGAUUUUUUGUAGUGAAGAAGGGAAAAGCUGCGCUUAGCUGAAGGGGAGGGACUCUGAUGCUGUCCUCUAGGGUUAAAGGAAUACAGGGGGUUUUAA
rnacentral:lncRNA from 1 species